UGCCGGUAUUUUGUUAUUCCUCUGUGGAGAGGAAGUGGUUAUACAACGAUAUUUGCUCAAGUACAGAUGCCACACAUGCUUUUCACUGGCCUUGAAGAUUACAAGGCAAGAGGAACUCAGGCAGCACCCUACUUCACUGUCUCUUUUUACACUGAAUUUGCAGAAACCAAGGACUUGGUCCUUAUCCGGGGAGAUGUUAUUUUUACCAGUG
rnacentral:misc_RNA from 1 species